rnacentral:rRNA from 1 species
UACGGAAGGCAGCAGGGAGGAAUAUUGCACAAUGGGCGCAAGCCUGAUGCAGCCAUGCCGCGUGUAUGAAGAAGGCCUUCGGGUUGUAAAGUACUUUCAGUCGUGAGGAAGGUGUUAAGGUUAAUAACCUUAGCAAUUGACGUUAGCGACAGAAGAAGCACCGGCUAACUCCGUGCCAGCAGCCGCGGUAAUACGGAGGGUGCGAGCGUUAAUCGGAAUUACUGGGCGUAAAGGGCACGCAGGCGGUUAAUUAAGUUGGAUGUGAAAUCCCCGGGCUUAACCUGGGAAUGGCAUUCAAGACUGGUUAGCUAGAGUCUUGUAGAGGGGGUAGAAUUCCAUGUGUAGCGGUGAAAUGCGUAGAGAUGUGGAGGAAUACCGGUGGCGAAGGCGGCCCCUGGGACAAAGACUGACGCUCAUGUGCGAAAGCGUGGGGAGCGAAACAGGGAUUAGAUACC